UAGCCUUUAUUAGGGACUCUUAAACGUAACAAUCAGUCUUUACGUGAAAAUAGGAACUGUAAUAUUUGAACAUUUUGGAAAUCGGCAUCUUUUUUGUUUGUCACUGUAAUCAACUAGAUGUUCAGCCUUGAUGAGCCGUGAUGUCUUACUGUUGCCGACGUUACAGGUGUUAUGAGGACUUUCCUUUUCUUGUGCUUAGGCUGAAGUUCGUCAAUCUCGUCAACACUUUCAGAAUC
rnacentral:misc_RNA from 1 species